rnacentral:tRNA from 1 species
GCGUUAGUGGUGUAACGGUAACAUUCAACCCUUCCAUGAUUUGAUUAUCGUGAGGUUGGGCCCUGGGUUCGACUCCCAGCUAACGCA